ACAUAAACCCUAAUUGUUUUCAUCUAUAUAAACUCUCUUAUGUAAUUCUUCUCCUCUAUCAUUCCAUUAUUUAACCAUCAUCUAAGAGCUUUGAAAUAACUAUUGUUGUGAUGACUGGGAAAUUGAGAAGCAAAUGUUGAAAAAGCAAAAAAAGUUCAGGCCUCAUCACCAUGAGACUUUUAUUGCGAAUUGGAAUUGGGGAUGGUGAGCUUAUAUGGAAGAUUCUUCAAGAGUGAAUACAACAUGUGAGGUUUUUGCCCUCUUCUUGCUUUCUGUUAGAUUUUGCUGAAUUUUUCUGUUUGUUUUUCCAGAGUGGCUUGGUUGAGUUUUGUUCUACAAUUAAAAACCAAAGAAGAGAUACGAGGAAGGAGAGAUUUUGGUUGAUGAUGACAGUGUUGAACAGUUGCGGCUUACAUAAUUAGUAUUAAGUGAUGAUAGUUCAGAUCCGUUCAUGAC